GAUGAACGCUGGCGGCGUGCUUAACACAUGCAAGUCGAACGGGGUUAUCAUUUUUGAAGCGAUUAGCUUGCUAAGAGUGGAAAAGUUGAUAACUUAGUGGCGGACGGGUGAGUAACGCGUGGGUAACCUGCCUUACACAGGGGGAUAACACUUAGAAAUAGGUGCUAAUACCGCAUAAGCGCACAGUCCCGCAUGGGACAGAGUGAAAAACAUUAGUGGUGUAGGAUGGACCCGCGUCUGAUUAGCUUGUUGGCGGGGUAACGGCCCACCAAGGCGACGAUCAGUAGCCGGCCUGAGAGGGUGGACGGCCACAUUGGGACUGAGACACGGCCCAA
rnacentral:rRNA from 1 species